rnacentral:rRNA from 1 species
UGGGGAAUAUUGCACAAUGGAGGGAACUCUGAUGCAGCGACGCCGCGUGAGCGAAGAAGGAAUUCGUUUCGUAAAGCUCUGUCCUAUGGGAAGAUAAUGACGGUACCAUAGAAGAAAGCCCCGGCUAACUACGUGCCAGCAGCCGCGGUAAUACGUAGGGGGCGAGCGUUGUCCGGAAUUAUUGGGCGUAAAGGGUUCGUAGGCGGUAAUACAUGUCAGAUGUGAAAUCUUGUGGCUUAACCACAUCAAGCAUCUGAAACUGUAUAACUUGAGUGGAGGAGAGGUAAGUGGAAUUCCUAGUGUAGCGGUGAAAUGCGUAGAUAUUAGGAAGAAUACCAGUAGCGAAGGCGACUUACUGGCCUCUAACUGACGCUGAUGAACGAAAGCGUGGGUAGCAAACAGG